UACAGAGGUCUCAAGCGUUGUUCGGAUUCAUUGGGCGUAAAGGGUGCGUAGGUGGCGGGGUAAGUCAGGUGUGAAAUCCCUCGGCUUAACCGGGGAACUGCGUCUGAUACUGGAUGGCUUGAGUUUGGGAGAGGGAUGCGGAAUUCCAGGUGUAGCGGUGAAAUGCGUAGAUAUCUGGAGGAACACCGGUGGCGAAGGCGGCAUCCUGGACCAACACUGACGCUGAGUGAGCGAAAGCCAGGGGAGCGAACGGG
rnacentral:rRNA from 1 species